rnacentral:rRNA from 1 species
AGUGAACGCUGGCGGCGUGCCUAAUACAUGCAAGUCGAACGGACAAGUAAGAGCUUGCUCUUAUGAGUUAGUGGCGCACGGGUGAGUAAUGUAUAGCUAAUCUGCCCCAUAGUGGAGGACAACAGUUGGAAACGACUGCUAAUACUCCAUACUCCAUUUAUAUAUAAGUAUAAAUGGGAAAGUCGAACCCUAUAUAUUGUUUAUUUAUCAAAUACCUACGGCGCAAUCGAAAGUUGCGGUGUGCUUUAGGUGGGUCAAGGGAGCGUAGCUCCUUGUCGCAAAGACGGACUUUGUUCGUCUGCGAAGUAAAUAAUAUAUAGGGUUUCUCGCUAUGGGAUGAGGCUAUAUCGUAUCAGCUAGUUGGUAAGGUAAUGGCUUACUAAGGCUAUGACGCGUAACUGGUCUGAGAGGAUGAUCAGUCACACUGGAACUGAGACACGGUCCAGACUCCUACGGGAGGCAGCAGUAGGGAAUAUUGCUCAAUGGGGGAAACCCUGAAGCAGCAACGCCGCGUGGAGGAUGACACUUUUCGGAGCGUA